rnacentral:lncRNA from 1 species
AAAAUCACCCAGAUUUCUUCAGCUCAAUAAUAACGAUUGUUAACGCAUUGAUAAAUUUAUUUUUUUUCUUCCGUGUACAUUGCCUGGAAUCAUACGUUAUAAAUGAUGGUGUGUAUCCUUUUGUAUUUGACGUGGCACAGAGCUUUCUUCGUGCCAUUUAAAAUUCUUCCAAACAUGGCUUUUAAUGACUAUUUAACAAUUUAUUUUGUGUAUGCACCAUCAUUGGAUCCUUCUCUUGUUGGACAUUUGCAUUUUCUUAAUUUUUUUGAAAUUGUGUAAAAUGCUGUAUGAAGUGUUGGUACAUCAAUAGCGUUGACAUCAAAUUAUCAGAUCAGAUUAUUCACAAAUUCGCAGAAGGAGGCUUCCAAGGACAAGGCAAGGAAUAUUUUUAGGGUCCUUGAUACAUGUUACCAAAUUACUGCCGAAAAAGAUGGCACCUGUAAACACACCUAACAGCCAUUUCACCGCUCUCGCAGCAAACUGACUAUUCACUUUUCAAAAGAGGUCUUGGCUAAUUUGGUGCCUGAAUAAUCACCUUCUUGCUGAUGAAUGGCCUCUUGGAUCCCUUCUUUUAUUUUUUUAAAGUGCUUACAUCGUGCUUGCCGUGUUCUGGGAGCUGAUUAAGUGCUUCAUAAACAGGAACUGAUUUCAACAGCCCUGCGAACAAGGCCCUGUUGUCGUUCUCCUCAUGCUGUAGACGUGAGACUCAGUCAGGCACGGAGGGCAGCCCAAGGCCCUCAGACUCGUGGAGUGGUGCAGCUGGCUCCCGCCCGGGCCGUGUGGCUCAGGACUCUGUGGACUUGACCAACACAUGACAUUGGCCGCGAGCAGGCGCUGGGGUCCCCAGCCCCAAAGGAAGGAAAAUCUGCAAUCGUCUCCUCCUCGGGAAGCCAGUGAGAAGCCACACGGGCAUUAGCAUUGGUGUGGCCCAGCCACACUGAUGACCCUGUGUAGCUCUCUGUUUACGAAGGGUUUCCCACGGCUCCUCAAGACCCAGACAGAACCCGAAGUCUCUCCUGGGGAGACCUGGACCCUGUCCUCUUACAGACGCCCGGUCCGGAAAGCUGGGAGUCACCUCACAUCAAUUCCAUCCUCAGUCACCGGAGACCCAACAUCUUGGACUGCUCAUGGCUUCAUCGCAUUUGCUUCUGCCAUGGUUCAGGUCCCCACUGUUUUUCUUCUAGGUCACCACAAUGGCCUCUGCCUCUGGCCUCCCUGCCUCCAUUCCCCUAAGGCUGCAGAGUGAGCUUUUAGGAGCACAGCUCUCCCGGAGAGCCCGCUGCCUUCAGAAUACAAUGGGAACUGUUAGUCUGCCCCUGUACCUCUAACCUCUCUCAACCUUCCCCUCUCCCCACUUUCUAGCCGUCUCUGGCUGCUGUCCCGUCUCUGAACUUAACCAUGCUGGCCCUCAUCCACCAUUCUCCUCUCCUUCCUCUUCUGUGUGCAAUCUACUCAUCCUUCAAGACGCAAGCCUGGGCCUGCACCACCUCCUCCAGGGAGCCUCCCAGGGUGCCUCAUUUCCUGUAGCACCUGUGGUUGCUGCUGGCAGCUUUUGUGAGACCAUCUGCUGAGGAUCUGUCUUGGCCCCCAAACCUGAGUUCCUGGAGGUCAAAGUGGGGACUGGGAUCUUUAAAUUCCCAGGGCUCAGCAGUGAGUGCCACCCAGUCGACAUGCUGAAGAGCUUUCUGAGGAAAUGAAGAAAAGUUGGCUUGGGCACCGUUAGUGGAACAGCAAAGAGGGAAGCAGGGAGGUGACGUGGGGAAGGUGCAUCUGAGCGUGGAAAGGGAAACGAGGCGCAGAUCCAGAUUCCUGCGUGAGGGAUUUGCCCCAGCUCC